rnacentral:rRNA from 1 species
GCGGUAAUACCAGCUCCCUGAGUGGUAGGGAUGAUUAUUUGGCCUAAAGCGUCCGUAGCCUGCUUGGUAAGUCUUUCGUCAAAUCCAGCGAUUCAAUCGUUGGCCUGCGGAAGAUACUGCUAGGCUUGAGGAUGGGAGAAGUCGACGGUAGUCCCAGGGUAGGGGUGAAAUCCUAUAAUCCUGG